ACAGGGAGGUAGUGACAAAAAAUAACAAUACGGGGCUUAAAGUCUUGUAAUUGGAAUGAUGGGAAUUUAAACCUCUUCCAGAGUAUCAAUUGGAGGGCAAAUNUGGUGCCAGCAGCCGCNGUAAUUCCAGCUCCAAUAGCGUAUAUUAAAANUGUUGCAGUUAAAAAGCUCGUAGUUGAAUUUUUGNUGCAUUGCUUGUGUCCCUCUGGGGUCUGUGCAUGUGGCUUUUUUUGG
rnacentral:rRNA from 1 species